rnacentral:lncRNA from 1 species
UCCAGUGUGCCCUGGCAUGCAUGUGGAGGUCAGAGUACAAUUUGGAGGAAUCAUGCCACCAGGGAAUGUCCUCAAGUAAUACGGGUUGGAGGCAAGUACCUUUACUUGCUGAGCCAUAUUAUCAGCCCUCAGUAUCUUAUUUCUAUUUCAGCCUGAGAUGUGCACAUAGUCCACAUUUCAAGUCUCUGCCCCUUCAGGAUAGUGCACCAUCUCUUAACACAUGGUCUUAUCAAAGUUAACAUCAAGUAAUAGGAUAGUAAACAAUGACAAUAUUGACAUUUUCUAUAUAAUGUUCCUGUAUAAAGUUAUUCAAUUUUCAUAGCCAGCCACCCUGUACAGUUAGGACAUAUUCUGAAUCCUUUUGUCUAAUUCUUUUUUUUUUUUUUUUGGUUUUUCGAGACAGGGUUUCUCUGUGUAGCCUUGGCUGUCCUGGCACUCACUUUGUAGACCAGGCUGGCCUCGAACUCAGAAAUCCGCCUGCCUCUGCCUCCCGAGUGCUGGGAUUAAAGGCGUGCGCUACCACCACCCGGCUCCUUUUGUCUAAUUCUUAGGGGCCAUGUGUGCCUCAGAAUUCAUUGUGAUUCCUUUUAACUAGAAAACUAGUGUAUGACACACUUAUUAUUCUAUAAUUCUCCAUUAAACUCCCAGAGUCAACCAAUAAUAUUUCUACACAAAAUAUAAAUACAUUUACAGAGAAAUAAAGAUAAAAUAAUAAUAAUAGUAAGAUAAGAUAAUAACAAAGUUAAAAUGUCUUCUAUUCAGUCAGAUUUUACUGCUAUAUCACAUGCAUUUAAACUUAAAAAAUGCAAGCUUAGAUUUUGGGAGUAAGACUUGUGUCUCCUCACAGAGGUGAGGUGCAGAUGCAGAUCAGUAGGCGUGUCAGCACUGGGGUUCUUUGUGGAGCUGGGGUUUACUGUGCUGAGCUGUCAGGCCCCUCAUCACAUGGAUUUGCACUUUAUAUCCCUUUAGAGAAAAAGUUUCCUGUAAGUCAUGCCACAAAAUAAUAAUUUAACAGUAUUAGUUGUGAUUUAAUUUUCUUAAUGUGGGUGCUCAAUUUGGAAAUGAAUUUAAGAAUACACCAAUUGUUGCUUGU